GCGAACUGAUUAGAAGCUUGCUUCUAUGACGUUAGCGGCGGACGGGUGAGUAACACGUGGGCAACCUGCCUGUAAGACUGGGAUAACUUCGGGAAACCGAAGCUAAUACCGGAUAGGAUCUUCUCCUUCAUGGGAGAUGAUUGAAAGAUGGUUUCGGCUAUCACUUACAGAUGGGCCCGCGGUGCAUUAGCUAGUUGGUGAGGUAACGGCUCACCAAGGCAACGAUGCAUAGCCGACCUGAGAGGGUGAUCGGCCACACUGGGACUGAGACACGGCCCAGACUCCUACGGGAGGCAGCAGUAGGGAAUCUUCCGCAAUGGACGAAAGUCUGACGGAGCAACGCCGCGUGAGUGAUGAAGGCUUUCGGGUCGUAAAACUCUGUUGUUAGGGAAGAACAAGUACGAGAGUAACUGCUUGUACCUUGACGGUACCUAACCAGAAAGCCACGGCUAACUACGUGCCAGCAGCCGCGGUAAUACGUAGGUGGCAAGCGUUAUCCGGAAUUAUUGGGCGUAAAGCGCGCGCAGGCGGUUUCUUAAGUCUGAUGUGAAAGCCCACGGCUCAACCGUGGAGGGUCAUUGGAAACUGGGGGAACUUGAGUGCAGAAGAGAAAAGCGGAAUUCCACGUGUAGCGGUGAAAUGCGUAGAGAUGUGGAGGAACACCAGUGGCGAAGGCGGCUUUUUGGUCUGUAACUGACGCUGAGGCGCGAAAGCGUGGGG
rnacentral:rRNA from 2 species